AUCGCUUCUCGGCCUUUUGGCUAAGAUCAAGUGUAAAAAUGAGCAGACAAGUCAGAAGUUCUGAUUAAUAAAUUAUUAAUAAAUAAAUUAAUAAUUAAUAAAUUAAUUAAUAAAUCUUGCUUGCUUCUGUAAGCAAGCAAGAGUGCCAUG
ensembl:snRNA LOC120098730 U2 spliceosomal RNA